rnacentral:rRNA from 1 species
ACGAACGCUGGCGGCGUGCUUCACACAUGCCAGUCGAACGGAAAGGCCCUGCUUUUGUGGGGUGCUCGAGUGGCGAACGGGUGAGUAACACGUGAGUAACCUGCCCUUGACUUUGGGUUAACUUCAGGAAACUGGGGCUAAUACCGGAUAGGAGCUCCUGCUGCAUGGUGGGGGUUGGAAAGUUUCGGCGGUUGGGGAUGGACUCGCGGCUUAUCAGCUUGUUGGUGGGGUAGUGGCUUACCAAGGCUUUGACGGGUAGCCGGCCUGAGAGGGUGACCGGCCACAUUGGGACUGAGAUACGGCCCAGACUCCUACGGGAGGCAGCAGUGGGGAAUAUUGCACAAUGGGCGGAAGCCUGAUGCAGCAACGCCGCGUGCGGGAUGACGGCCUUCGGGUUGUAAACCGCUUUCGCCUGUGACGAAGCGUGAGUGACGGUAAUGGGUAAAGAAGCACCGGCUAACUACGUG